GACUGUAAAGCUUGCCCAGGGGAGGUGCAUUGGCAUCUCCUGAACGUACAUUAAUCCACUGGACUCUGUGGUUUGUGGGACCCUCACCACCAAGAAGACCAGAAGAA